GAUUCUGAUUAUAUUUGCGCAGUAUAGGUGGGAGACGUUGAUAGUAUUCUUGCGGGGAUAAAGAAGUCAUCAGUGAGAUACCACUCUUGUAUAAUUGGGCUUCUAACUUCAUACCGUAAGCCGGUUGAAGGACAGUUUCAGGUGGGCAGUUUGACUGGGGCGGUCGCCUCCCAAAAGGUAACGGAGGCGCACAAAGGUUCCCUCAGAUCGGUCAGAAAUCGAUCAUAGAGUGUAAAGGCAAAAGGGAGCUUAACUGUGAGACAAACAAGUCGAGCAGAGACGAAAGUCGGUCUUAAUGAUCUGACGAUGCUGUGUGGAAAGGUCGUCACUCAACGGAUAAAAGUUACUCUAGGGAUAAC
rnacentral:rRNA from 1 species